rnacentral:pre_miRNA from 1 species
GGUGGGUGUAUGUCUGGUCACGUGUUCUAUAUCGUAUCCGUGACUAGAUAUAUACUCAUCU